GAAAUGCGAUAAGUAAUGUGAAUUGCAGAAUUCCGUGAAUCAUCGAAUCUUUGAACGCACAUUGCGCCCUCUGGUAUUCCGGGGGGCAUGCCUGUCCGAGCGUCAUUGUGAACCCCUCAAGCACGACUUGUGUGAUGGGCCCUCCCGCGUCUUGGUCGUCAAGACGGGCCCGAAAAGCAGUGGCGGCUUCGCGGUUAUCCGAUCAGCCAGAGCGUAUGGGGACUUUCUCUCUGUCACACGCCCGCGGCGCGGACCGACGCCUGUCGACCUUUAUUCAUCUUUUUCUCGGUUGACCUCGGAUCAGGUAGGGAUACCCGCUGAACUUAAGC
rnacentral:misc_RNA from 1 species